rnacentral:rRNA from 1 species
AGUGAACGCUGGCGGUAGGCCUAACACAUGCAAGUCGAACGGCAGCACAGUAAAAGCUUGCUCUUACGGGUGGCGAGUGGCGGACGGGUGAGGAAUACAGCGGAAUCUACUUUUUCGUGGGGGAUAACGUAGGGAAACUUACGCUAAUACCGCAUACGACCUACGGGUGAAAGCAGGGGAUCUUCGGACCUUGCGCGAUUGAAUGAGCCGAUGUCGGAUUAGCUAGUUGGCGGGGUAAAGGCCCACCAAGGCGACGAUCCGUAGCUGGUCUGAGAGGAUGAUCAGCCACACUGGAACUGAGACACGGUCCAGACUCCUACGGGAGGCAGCAGUGGGGAAUAUUGGACAAUGGGCGCAAGCCUGAUCCAGCCAUACCGCGUGGGUGAAGAAGGCCUUCGGGUUGUAAAGCCCUUUUGUUGGGAAAGAAAAGCAGCAGGUUAAUACCCCGCUGUUCUGACGGUACCCAAAGAAUAAGCACCGGCUAACUUCGUG